AUGGUGUUUUGAUUGUAUUGAAUCGGUGGUGGUGCUAGAUGUUUCACCGCCGGCAACAGUGACGUAAAGAGAACAAGGGGCUCGUGCAGGUUAGUGAUUUUGGGGUUUCGAUCGGAGGUUGGGUGCUUGAUGGAUGGGGUUGUAUGUAGGUGAGUAUGAAUGUCUCAGUGUUGGCCGAUGGAAUUUGGAGAUGAAGGUCAGUUAGGGGAGGAAGGGUGUGUACAGGAGGUCGAGAGAGGGAGAACAGAAUUAUUAUCGUGAAGUUAAGGUUUGGAAAUCAAAACUAUAGACUGGCUGAGAAAUGCAGAAUGAAGCCAAGGGGGUAGUUUGGUGCUAAAAUACGGAGCAAUGCAAAGAAAAGAUGGGGUGAAGGAGAAGAGAACAGGGAGAAAGAACCUGUGGUUGGGAGAUGGACAAUAUGACUUUGGUGUUCGGGUGGGACUCACAGAGCUAUUCGGAAAUAGAAAUGGAAUAAAAUAUUGACUAAUUAUUAGUUAUUGAUAAAUAUUAUAAUUAUUAACUUUAUUAUUAUUGUCGAUUCUUUUGAUAAUAAUAAUGAUAAUUAAUAAUUUUAAUAUUAUUAAUAAUCAAUGAUUGACUAAUGUAAAUUCUGUUUUUAUAUUCUAAACAUUGGAAUGGAAGGUUGUUCUUGAGAUCGAAUAAUGUGAAUUAUUGAUUAGGUCUAAAUUAGUAGUAUUGCUAUGAAUAAUGCUAUGUGCGUUAGAAAUUGAUGAUAUUGAGUAGGUGCGAUGUUUAAGACGUGCAUCUAGAAUUAUUAUAUUUAAAUAGUUGUAUUAUGAUGAGAAUUAAAAGUGUAUUAUUA
rnacentral:lncRNA from 1 species